CAGUAGCCGCGGGAAUACGUAGGUGGCAAGCGUUGUCCGGAUUUAUUGGGCGUAAAGCGAGCGCAGGCGGUCAAUUAAGUCUGAUGUGAAAGCCCCCGGCUCAACCGGGGAGGGUCAUUGGAAACUGGGAAACUUGAGUGCAGAAGAGGAGAGUGGAAUUCCACGUGUAGCGGUGAAAUGCGUAGAGAUGUGGAGGAACACCAGUGGCGAAGGCGACUCUCUGGUCUGUAACUGACGCUGAGGAGCGAAAGCGUGGGGAGCGAACAGGAUUAGAUAACCGCGUAGUCCCUGUCUCUUAUAC
rnacentral:rRNA from 1 species